rnacentral:lncRNA from 1 species
CAAGCCAUCGACUAAACACCCAAUCAACCAAGAUUAUAUCCUCAGUUGGCUGUAUUGGCCUUCUACCAGAAGCAACCUCAAGCAAGAAGGCCCCAAAAGCGAACACAUCAGUGCUUGUCGUGGCCUUUCCAGUUCGUGCAUGCUCAGGUGCGAGAUACCCAAGAGUUCCGACAACGUGGGUCGUUUGAGGAUCUGUUCCAUGGUCAUACAAUCUUGCAAGGCCAAAAUCCCCUAAUCUUCCAUUCAAUUCACCAUCUAGCAAGACAUUACUUGCCUUGACAUCUCUAUGAACCACAACUUGCUCCCAUUCUUCAUGCAGAUAAAAUAGCCCUGAAGCUACGCCUUUGAUGACUCUAAAUCUUUGGCUCCAAUUGAGGGCGACUGUUGGUUGGUCAUAGAGGUAUUUGUCUAAACUUCCAUUAGGCAUGUAGUCAUAUACCAAAAGUAGCUCUCCUUUACGCCGGCAGUACCCCAAGAGAGGGACUAAAUUCCGGUGGCGAAGGCGACCAAUGCUGACAAUUUCCGCCACAAAUUCCCUCAUCCCCUGUCUUGAUUCAUGAGACACCCUUUUCACUGCAAUCUGAAUCUUAGAGGUUGGCAAGACACCUUUGUAGACUCUACCAAAUCCACCACUACCCAACUGCUCCUCGUCUCUAAAUCCUUUGGUGGCAGUAUAAAGAUCUUUGAGUUUAAAUCGGUGAGGCCCAUAGUCAAGCUCCCAAUCUUCUAGCACUUCUGCAAACUUCCUUGCCCUUCGUAUGGCAUAAGAAAUACUCGAGACCGCUACUAAAACCAAACUUAAACAAAGCACAGGCAGUCCAAUGGUUAAGAAUUUGGAUGUCUUCUUUGGUCCUACUCGAGGAAGCUUAGGAAGGCGAGAGAUAUUUAGUCCUUUAGCUAGGCCAUUCAUCUUGAAGCUCCAACCCAACACAUACUGGGACGCUAAAACAGAACCGGUAGACGAUGAGAAUCCGAUAUACAUACUACUGUUUAAGAUUGGCGACAAAUCACAAGACAAAGUCAAAAGUGGUCGACUGGGUUUAUCAACAUCAAUCGGAGCUAUAGUGACAUUAAAUUGCUUCUCCAUGCCAUCAUAUUCCAUCCAAACUUGCAUUGGAUGGCCACUACUUAGCGUCAAGUUUGUGAGCUUACCAUUAAGUUGAGAAUAAUAUCCAGCUGAAGCAGAUCGUUCAGACACUAAACCAUUAAUAUCAAUCCCAACAUGGUUAUCAUUGAUAUCAUUGAAAUCGCUGUUGUAUAUCGUGUCAAGCUCCACAGCAACAACAUGGUUGGUCUGAUUCCCAUUGUUGGUCUCAUUAAAUAGACCAAGGUGCUGGCUUGGAAGAGCUCCUGGGAGACCUCUUGUGGGUGCAAUGACAAAGGCAAUACCAUGGCCACCAAAACUUGCAUAUUCAGGUAUGAUAGCGAAAACAAAGGCAGUGGAGAAGGUGAAAGCAGUGCUAUUUAUAGAGUUCUUGAAGGUUACUGGGUUUGGAUAGAAGGCGUGACUAGUUCGUAGCUUGGUUUCAUUGGUUAGCCUCAAAAGGCCAUUGGAGGUUAACUCAGCUAAGCCGUCAAGGCUUAGAUUAGUAGAUCGGAAGCCAGAGAAGGUGAAGUUGAGAUCUUGAGAGGCUGCUAUUGCUAAGCUAACGAAGACACGCACCAAAAAGACGAUCCUGAAUAACAUUGCAACUGUAUUUGUCACCACCCACCAGUUUCUUGUUCAUGUUUGUCAGUUAUAUUGGAGUAUCCACUUAAUCCAGUACAGAUUAUUUGUAGGAAAAUAAUUUUUUUUUUAAAUUAAUUAUUUAAAUAUUAAAUUCUUGAAAAAUAAAUUAGUUUCUAAUAUUUAGUAGUAUUAUAAAAAAUAACUUAGAAAAUAUUUUCCAAUUUGACUAUAUCAUAGAAAAUAAGUUGAAAAUAAAAUUAUUAAUAUUUUUUUUCAAGUUUAUUAAAAUAAUAAGAAAUAAAUCUUACAAAUUAAAAAGUUGAAUGAAAGUAAAAGUAAAAAAAAUCUAAUUUUAUAAAUUAUCUCAAAUAAAAUAAAUAACAAUCAAAAUAAUAAAAAUCAAAUCUAAUGGAUAAAAAAGUUGAAAGAUAAUGAAAUUAAAAAAAAUUACAAUUUCAUAAAUUAUUUUAAAUAAAAUAAAAAACAAUAAAAAAAAUAAAAACCUAAUCUGAUAAAUAAUUAAUUUCAAUUAAGAAAAUAAUAAGAGAAAAAUAAAUAAUAAUCAUAAAAAUAAGGACGAGAUAUAAAAAUUAAAUUAAAUUUUAACGGAUGAAAUUAAAAAAUAAAUUCAAAAUAAAAUAUACAUCAAUCAAAAGUUUGAGGUUUUAAUUUGAUAAAAUCAGUAAAUAACAUUAUAUUUUUAAAUUUUUCACAAUUUUUAAAAAGUGUUGUUUUCUCAAAAUAAAAAAAAUACUUUCAUGUAAAUCAAGAUAAUUUUUUUUAAAAAAAAUAUUUUUCAUCAAUUAAUAUUGUUUCAAUAACAAAUAAAUAUAAAAAAAUUUAAAAAAUGAUUUUAACAAAUCACUUUCCGUGAAAUAAAUGUGCCUUAAUGAUAGAGCCAAUUAGUCAAACAAUGAGGACAAUCUUUGCAUAAUCUUUGCAUUCAAUGGUUGAGAUAAUCUAACUUGUCAAACUUUCAGGUUGAUGUGAAANNNNNNNNNNNNNNNNNNNNNNNNNNNNNNNNNNNNNNNNNNNNNNNNNNNNNNNNNNNNNNNNNNNNNNNNNNNNNNNNNNNNNNNNNNNNNNNNNNNNUUAAAUUUCGCGGUUAGGUAUUGUAUGAGUUGCAGCUGAACAGAUUUUUUUAAUUAAAUUUAAAUUUUUUUAAAUUAAUUUUUUAGUGUUUUUAUAUUAUUUUUGAUAUAUUAAUGUUAUAAAUAACAUUUUAAAAAAAAUAUUUUAAUAUAUUUAAAAAUAAAAAAAUAAUUUAAAAAAUAUUCUUCACUACCCUUCCAAAUAAUAAGGUUGCUCUAAAGGUUCGAGUCCUUUCAUAAUCAUUAUUGAUUUACAUGAUUAUUAAUUUUAUAACUCGUAAAAUUAAUCGAAAUACACAUAAGUUAAGCUGUUCUGAAUAUUCAUAUUAAUAAUAAAAAAAAUUGCUCUAAAGUACCAGGAUUCAUACAUUCGUACUUGUUACUUGGCUAUUAAUGUAUUGAUUUCAGCUUUAUGUUACCGGUCGACUCAUACAACCAGUUGCUCAUUCUAAUUUCAUUAGCUUUAGGUGUAAAUAGCUAUUUGCCCUGGAUACACUCUGGGUUAUAUAAUAAUCUAGAAUCGAAUAAUUGAAGUAUGAAUGUUAUAAACGAUAUGAUAGAUCCACUUAAAAGAAAAUGGUUAAAAAAAAAGGCAUAGAAGAACCAACAAACAACUGAAAUUUCAUGGGGAUGCAACUUCCACAAGUGCCCCUAACAAAGGAAGGAGAGACUUGGUUUCUAAUAGACAUUUCUAUACAAAGAUCAAAAUUUCAUUUACUAAUGUAAAUUUCAUUUACUAAUGCAAGAGAGAUAAAUCAAUUCCAACUCAUCACAAAAACUAAGAUGCUAUCCCGUGUAUGGUAUUGCGUUAUAAACAAGAGUUGGGCAAAAUUUGAAAAUUUGUUUUUUACUUAAAAUUAUUUUUUUAUGUUUUUGGAUCAUUUAAUUUGAUGUGCUGAUAUAAAAAAAUAAUUUUUAAAAAAUAAUAAUAAAAUAUUAUUUUGAUGCAUUCCCAAAUCAAAAACACUUUGAAAAGCAACUACUACUACACUUUCAAACAUCCAAUAUAGAAAACCCAACUAUAAUAAUCUAUAAUUCAUCUUAAAAAGAAACAAAUAUAUGUGAAACCUACAAAGGGAACCCGCCUCUUGCGUAACGUGGCAUUUCUGCUUAUAAUCAAGUAAAGAAAAGUUGAGGUAGAUAAAGUUAGAACUAUUAGAUGGGUGUUUGAGAGUAUAGUAGUGGUUGCUUUUCAAUAGUGUAUUUCACUCAGAAAAAAGCACCUGAUUAGGGAUACGAUGAACCUUUAGUAAACUGAAACGGNNNNNNNNNNNNNNNNNNNNNNNNNNNNNNNNNNNNNNNNNNNNNNNNNNNNNNNNNNNNNNNNNNNNNNNNNNNNNNNNNNNNNNNNNNNNNNNNNNNNCCUAGUAAACCAGGUGAUCGGUAGUUGUGAUAGUACCAAGUGGUGCCUCGUAACCAGGUAGUUGGUAGUUGACACCUGUAAAAGGUCCCUUGUUAUGGACGUGGAGACUCUCUAAUGGUAAAGUCAGUAACUUUGUAGAGAGAAAAUGUGCAAUGAUAUUUUAGAGAGAUAGAUUCUGAAAAUAUGUAUGCUAAAAAUGUUAAGAAUGAAGAGAUUGUGAACCUUUAACUUGAAAGAUUCAUGACAUAUUUAUAGCCCAUAAAUCUUCUUUUUUUAUGGAGAAGAGGGGUUAAAGUAUAAUUUCAUCCUUGUGAUAUUUUGAGUUGUAUUCUAGUUAAAAUAAUACAUAUUAGAUCAAUAUAAAAUACUAAGGGACUCGUGUGGAAUCCCAAAAAAAUCCUUGGCAGGUGUUGGGCUUGAGCCCAUUUAAAAUGAGAAAUGGGUUUAGACGCACUGCUUAGAACCAAGCAUAUUAGGCUCGAGAAGCACUCCCGACCCCGAGCAUGUUGGGCUUGGGUGCAUGCCCAAGUCUAAGAGGGUGCUGAGGUGCCCAACCCCUCUACUAGGCAUUAGGUGCAUACCCAGCACCUGCUAGGCAUGACAACAUGCAUAAUAGGAUAGGUGUGUGCCCAUCUCAAAAUGGGCUCGAGCAUGUUGUCCGGGCCCAUGCACCUAUGCCUAGUAUGGGCUCGGGCUGCCAUGUCCGAGCCCAUGCUCCUUGAGCCCCAAUUGUAUAUUGGGCUCGAGCUUAGUAGGCCGAGCUCAAGGGGUGUUUUUUAGGCCUAUCUUGUAGGGGGGUUUUGAGUUUAUUUUAUUUGAAUCCAUUAGUUAGGAUGUAUAUUAUUGGGGUAGUAAUUUAUGUAAAUGUACGGUUUGCAUGUGCUAAAGUAGUUGCUGCUGGGAUUUUUAAGUUCACUAGUAGAAUAUUUCUUACUUGAGAACUAAUUCCAUUGUGACCCUUUUGGAAGAAAGAAGUUCUAUCAUCCCAUCUUUUUACUCAAAACAUGCGACAUGUACCUAGCUCACACAUACUAAGUGACAUGUAUCUAUUUUUUUUCUUUUAAAAAAAUGUAUUUAUUUCAUUUUAUUGUGCAAUAAAAAAAAAUAAAAAGACUAAAAAGCUCCUAAACCCUAGAAAAAUUGAUUUUAAAAAAUAACAAAAAAAACAACUUGCAUAAAUUUAGGUAAACAUGUCAAACCUGCUAACAAAGUCAUGAGAAUGAGAUUACCACGUAGAAAACAAAUAAAAAAACUUAAAGACGGGUUCUUAACCAACCUAUUGCUGAACUAUAAAAUUAAAAAGAACAUAAAUUAAAAAAAAAAUGAUAAAAAAUAACUCAAGUCAAUUUGAGUUAAUCUACAAAAUUUACAACCUUGGUUAUAAUACUAGAAUAACUCUAUAAAAAAAACAAACUAAAAAAAACCAUGCUUUUUUCUUAAAAAAAAAAUAAGUGAUAAGAAAAAAUUCUUCAAGAAAUACAACAUAGGAUUUUCUUGAGAUGCCGAGUCAUUAUUUGCAUGGAACAUCGUGGAUAAGAAAUAGCUGUCAAAAGGCUCUCUAAGAGUUCAAGACAAGGACUUGAUGAGUUAAAAAAUGAAGUAAAAGAUAUUUUGAAACUUCAACGCUAGAAUCUAGUGAGGCUUCUUUGGAUGCUGCAUUUAAAGAGAUGAAACGAUAUUGGUCCACGAGUUUUUACCUAACAAAAGCUUGGACUUCUAUAUUUUUUGUACGAGUCUCACAAAACCUUAUCAAAAAGUUGUUCCAAUUUUUCAAAUUUAGCACUAUUGAGCUUUGAUAUUGAGUUUGGUAUUACUUGUUCGACCAUCUGUUGAUCUUCCUUCAAAGCCCUUGGGAAAGUAGCUUUGUAGGGGAAGAGUACCUUUCUCCACGUUCAUUCACACAAAUUCUACCAUAGAUGUAAUUCUUGACUAGACCCUCGAACAUCACAGAACUGACCCCCCCACAAUGAACAUGGUCGUGACCUGACACCGAAUCUCACAGACUUAUCCUUACCUGAACCUCAAGUGCGUUGUACUAAACCCUAUCCCGACUCCCUACCCCCAAAUGCCAAAGAAAACCCAAAAGAUUGUAAAACAUGAAGUAUGUGUGGCAGUGGGUAAUGGUCAUGAUACUAGUGUUUGGAAAGAUCUUUGGUUGGGUAGCUCUAUAUUGGCAUUAUAAUUUCCAGGUUCAUAUAUCAUGUAUAAUGACAAAGAUGUAAGCAAGUAUCCAAGUGUGGAACUAACUCCAACUAAACCUUCUGAAGAAUAGGAUUUAAGCAAGUGAUAAGAUUGUUAUAGAAUGGAACUCUAAUUAUUGUGUUUGAUUAGAACUCUGCAACAUUGUUUCUAUUGUAUAUAUAUAACCUCUGAUUCAAUGAAUAAAGGUGAGCUUUUACGUUCCAUAAUCAGAUUGCAUCUCCACAUGGUAUCAGAUUAAUUGCACUGAAAUUUUCUUCUCUCCCUUCUUCCCUAGCUUCUUCUGUUCUAUUUAAAUCACCAUGAGUGAUUCCUCAAACACAACCCUUGUAACCAUUAAUGUUACAGCUCAAGCUCCAGCGAAACUCAAUAGUACCAACUACCUAUCAUGGCGACUUCAGUUUUAGAUGCUCUUCAUUGGCUAUGAUAUGCAAGGCUACAUAGACGACACAAAGCCAUGCCCAUCAAAAUAUCAUACCACCAAUACAACAAACUCCACCACUCAACCUUAAAUCCAGAAUAUCAUACCUGGAUAUGUCAAGACCAACUGAUUUUGAACGACAUCAUAGGAUCCAUUACACCAACCAUUAUUCUUGUAAAACCUCUGGGCGAAAAAUUAUAAUUUGACUAGUUUCAUGUAAAACAAAAAGAAAACAAUUUGUAACUCUCGAUCAGGUUAUCAGAAAAUUAUGAAAAUUUUCCUGGAGCCUUCUAAUAUGAUUCCUUAGCUUGGGUUAAAAUUUCAGAAUUUUUAGACAAAUUCAGAAAUUUGACGAAAAAUCACAAUUUGACUAGUUUUACGUUAUUGAACGUAAUUUUAAAUCCGACCAUCAGAUUGAGCUGAAAUUUUAUGAAGAACCUUAAAAUAUAUUAAAUAAAAUCUGGUUAAAAUUUUAGGAUGAACGGAGCUAGUUAGUGCUAUCAAAGAAUAAGGACCGUCAAAUGGAAGCAAAAAGACUCAUUAAGGGUAAAAUGGUAAUUUGCCAUUAAAAAUAAAACAAGGCAGCCCCUUUUCUGUUAUGAACUGCCGACUGGGCAGUAACAAACGUGGAAAGAAAAAAAAGAAAGAAAAUAAGAGAAGAACGUGAGAAGUUAAGAGAAAAAUAAGAAAAAGUGAGAGAGAGCUUUGAAACUUGUAAGAAUGAAAGACUUGGAACAUUAAAUUAAGGAAGAAUCAAGUGAAGGAAGAUAUAAGAAAGGUGAGGAAGGCUUGCCACACUAGGAGGAGAAGAAAAGUUGGGAGAACUUAGAUUGGUAAGCAUGAAAAGUUUAGAUUCUUACUUGAAUGAAGUGUUUUUGGGUUUAUUUGAGUAAGUUAUUAAACAAUGACAAUUAAAUUUGAUUUAAUUUCUCAUAAUCUUGAUUUUUUUAAAUUAGUGUUCUUAUGAGAAUUUGGGGAUUUUGAGCAAAAUAGUAAACAUGAUGGAAUUGAGGUAGAAUAGUAUAGAAAUAGUGAAUAUAAAUAGUAAUUAAGAAAGAAAUUGAAUAAUUUUGAAGAAAAGAACUUGUAAUUAAGGAUGAGAAAAUAUAGGAAUGAGAUUUUGAUUGUUUUAUGUUUGAGAAAUGAUGUUCUUUAUCUUAUUUGAAGUAUUCAAAAUAUGAACAAGUGAAGAAACAUCAUAAGAAUAAGAAUGUGAAAAGAAGGAAUAAAUAAAUGGUAGGAAAAGUUCAUGGGAGAAUUCUUUAAGUGAGUUAAAACAAGAAAAUUGAUUAAAACUAUAUGUUGAAAAUGAGGUGACAAAUGAAUGAAAAUUUUGGUGUAAACCCCAAUUAAAUAAAAGAUAUUAUGUGCUUCAAAUUUAGGCACGUAGAAGAAAUGAUAAUGGAUUAAUAAUGUAAUGCAAUAUGAUUGAUUCAGGAGUUGUACCGGGAGCAAGGCAUCAAGCAGGAGGAGUUGGGCCAUCAUGAGCUGACGGUAAGUGAUUCAUCACUUUCUUUUAAAAUUCAAAGUUUAAUUAUUAGUUAUGAGUUGUUUAUGACAUGUUGAUAUGGAAGAAGUAGAUGAAGAAACUGUUGGUAUUAUAAUUGAAUUACCGGUUAGUAUGAAUUACCGGUUGGUAUGAAUUACCGGUUGGUAUGGAAUUACCGGUUAGUUGGUAUGAAUUACCGGUUAGUAUAGAAUUACCGGUUGGUAUGGAAUUAUCGGUUGGUUAGUAUGAAUUACCAUUACCGGUUGGUAUGGAAUUACCGGUUGGUUAGUAUGAAUUACCGGUUGGUAUGGGAUUACCGGUUGGUUAGUAUGAAUUACCGGUUAGUAUAGAAUUACCGGUUGGUAUGGAAUUACCAGUUAUAUUGGCUAUUGAUAGAGAAUAGCCGGAUGUUGGGUAAUUCGUAUGGAAUUACCGGUUGUAUUGGCUAUUGAUAGAGAAUAACCGGAUGUUGGGUAAUUCGUAUGGAAUUACCGGUUAGAUUGGCUAUUGAUAGAGAAUAGCCGGAUGUUGGGUAAUUCGUAUGGAAUUACCGGUUUGAUAGUUGGCUAUAUAAGAGGGUUAGUCAGGUUUGAGGUAAAAUUUGUGAAUUAUCAAAUUAAAAAUUAAGCAAUGAGUGUUGGUUACAGAGGUCCUAUAAGUAUAGGAUUAAUAAAUUAUGAAUGGGUUAUUAAUGUUGAUAUAUAGUAAGUUGGUGAUGAAAGAUAAUUUGAUAUAUUUUGAAAACUUGUGAACAUAAUAACUUUAUCAUCUUUAAGGUGUUAUCUUUCUUAUUUCUUAUUAAUGUUAUGUAUACAGGUUUUUCACGAGGUGAUGCGGAGGGUUAAAUAUAGGCUUUGUGUUUUAAUGUGUUUAUUUUGUGGGAUGCAAUAUAUUUGCUUUAUAUGUAAUUUGUAUUAUAUGUAGAUUGUAAUAUAUGUAUCAUGAAGAUGUUUUGCUUUUGGUACUUAUACAUUUAAAAUGUAUGAGUAAGGAACUAAUAUUAUUAAACUAUUCAAAAAGAAUAUUUAGUAAUUAUAAUCAUGCAUGUUUAAAAGAUGAAUGCAUGUUAAUGUAAUAAUUAGUUCAAUAUGAAUCUUUUGAGUUUAUAAUUGUUUGUAGUUAAUGUGUUAUUUGUUGAUAAUGUAAGGUUGAGAAAAUACAAUGAAGUAUAGUUAUGUGAAAUAUUAUUUGAUGAGAUGGGAUAUGAUCCAGGAUGAUUGGAUCAAAGUGGAAGUUUUGAGUAUUGUGAUUGAAUGAAGUCUAGUCGAUAACUUGGUAAUAUCAGAAAACAUAAGAAACUCUGCCGAAAUUUCAAAAAAAAAAAUAAAUCCUAUAAUCUUAGACAUACCAUUCAAUACUUGACAUUAGUAAAGAAAUGUUUGAGAUUUCAUGACAUUAUAAUUUGAGGGUGUUACAAUUCCAUUUAUUGCUCGAGCCACAACAGCUCGCGAAGCAUGGAACAUCCUUGCAGCCCACAUAUGCCACUCCAUCUCGGGGUCGCAUCAAAUAGGUAAAAGCCAAUCUCAAAUCGCUAACCAAAGGCACCCUCAGCAUCAUAGACUUCCUGAAAUCAGUCAAGGCUAGAGCUGAUGGACUUGCAGUCCUAGGGGCACCUGUAGACAAUGAAGACCUGACGAACAAAAUCCUAGAAGAACUAGGUGAUGACUACAAAGAAUUGGUGAGAGCAGUGCAAGCCAGGGAGAAUGCCAUUAGCUUUGAUGAACUUCAUGAAAAAUUAUUAAUGUUCGAAUCCUCACUCUAGGCAACCAAUAAGGCUAUUAAUUUCUCCCCUACAGCGCAUCUCUCCAAUCGAACCAGUAACAGGUAUCACUUCAACAACGUUGGCCGAUCCGCGUCCAACAACUCAGGUGGAAAUUAGCGCCCCUCUGCCAACCAACACCACCGCUACACAGGACAAGCUGUAACCACUCACGCCACCACUAACAACAGGCGAUCUCAUCCAAGGCCAUAUCUGGGGUAUUGCCAAAUCUGUGGCAUUCAAGGACACACAGCAAAAAAAUGUCCCUCAUUCCAUCUUGUUCCCCUCCACAGCAACCAAACUUACAGUCCUACUCCGUGGCAACCGCAGGCCAACCUUGCAGAGACUAGUCCCCCGACUCGUUCUCCAUGGCUUCUGGGUAGUGGGGCGUCCCACCACAUCACGGUAGAUCUCCAAAAUUUGGCUCACCACUUGCCCUACACCGGCACAGAUGAUGUUAUGAUAGGGGAUGGUAAAAGUCUAUGAAUUACACACUUGGGUUCCUCUACUCUUCAAUCAUCUGCUCAUUCUUUUAAACUUCAAAAUAUAUUAUGUGUGCCUGAUAUUAAACGCAAUUUACUCUCAAUAUAUCAAUUUUGCAUUGAUAAUAAUGUAUCUGUUGAGUUCUUACCCUGGUGUUUUUUUGUGAAGGACUUGUUGUUAGGAGAAAUUCGCGUAAAGGGUAAAACCAAAGAAGGUGUGUACGAAUGGUCGUGCGUUGUCACCCCUCAUGCCUUUUCCAGUCUCAAAAUAGCUCCCAUAAAUUGGCAUUUUUGAUUAGGUCAUCUAGUUGUUUCUGUUUUAACAACAAUUUUAAGUAAUUUGAAUUCGUCUUCAGUAUCCAAAGACUUUGUCUGCAAUGCAUGUCACUGUAAUAAGAGUCACAAGCUACCAUUUUCUGUCUCCACUUUGACUUCUCAUAAACCUCUUGAAAUAAUAUUUUUUGAUGUAUAGACAUCACCUAUUUUGUAUGUUGAUGGUUUUAUUAUUUUUGUGGAUCACUUCACUAAAUACAUAUGGUUUUAUCCGCUAAAGAAAAAAUCUGAUGUCAAAAACACCUUUAUUCGCUUUAAAGCAGUCGUGGAAACUUAUUUCAAGAAAAAAAUUGUGACUCUGUAUUCUGACAAUGGGGGUGAAUAUGUUGCGUUAACAGAAUUCUUUGUUAUACAUGGCAUAUCUCAUCUGACAUCACAAUGGCUUUGCUGAACGCCGCUAUAUGUAUAUUGUAGAAACAGGCCUUUCACUUUUAACUCAUGCAUCUUUACCAUGUAUUUUUUGGUCUUAUGCUUUUGCUACCGCGGUCUAUCUCAUUAAUCGCAUGCCGACUACCACGUUACAAAAUCUUUCGCUUUAUGCAGUUAUUUUUCAACAUUCCCCAAAUUAUGAAAAACUUCAUAGUUUUGGAUGUUUAUGUUAUCCUUCGCUUCGCCCGUACACUGCUCAUAAAUUAGACCCUCGUUCCAAAGCAUGCAUUUUCCUAGGAUAUUCUCUAUCACAAAGUGCUUAUUUAUGCUUUGAACCCGAGUCCUAAAAAAUCAUUGUGUCCAGGCAUGUGUCCUUCAUCGAGCAUAUUUUUCCAAAUCAUGAUUUACACAAACAGGAGUCACCAUGCAUAUCUACAUCAGUUGACAUGUGGAUUCCACCAGUUUCACCAUUCCAUCAUCCACUUCUACACACUCUUCUGUGGCUGCACCUGUAGCAAGAGCUCUCCCUUCAGUCUCUCCCCUGCCAGUGGUCUUUCAUCCCUCACCAGGGCUGGACAACCCAUCAGACAUCCCUUCCCUGCCUUCUUCCACUACUCCUAUCUCUACCCCGACCAUCCUAAACCCAACAACAACCAUACCCACACCGAUAAAACCUCUUCCUUGUCACCCUAUGACAACCCGAUCCAAAAACAAUAUUCAUAAACCCAUUCAGAAACUCACGUACACUACCACCCUAACCACUCAGCCUCAAGAACCCACCAACCUUGCACAGGCCACAAAAGAUCCACAAUGGCGGUCUACCAUGAAUGAAGAGUAUAGUGCUCUGUUAUGCAAUGGCAUUUGGACUUUAGUCCCACCUGUUUGUGCUUUUAACUUGGUUGGCUGUAAGUGGAUUUUCAGGAUCAAACGAAAUGCAGAUGGAACAAUGGCUCGUUACAAAGCCAGACUUGUAGCCAAAGGUUUUCAUCAGCGUCCUGGACUGGACUAUUACGACACAUUCAGUCUUGUUGUGAAACCUAUGACAGUCCGCUUAGUUCUCAGCAUUGCUGUCAGCAAUGGAUGGACACUUCGCCAACUUGACAUUAACAAUGCAUUUCUUCAAGGCACUCUUGCUGAGGAUGUAUACAUGGCCCAACCUCUGGGCUUUCAUGAUCUGGACAAACCUGAGUUUGUAUGUAAACUUAGAAAAGCAAUUUAUGGCUUGAAGCAGGCACCUCAUGCGUGGUAUCAUGAACUAUAUAAUUUUCUGAAUGCAUCGGGUUUUUCUAACUCCCUGGUCAAUACAUCACUUUUCAUCUUCCAUCAGCACUCUCACCUCAUUUAUCUUCUGGUUUAUGUGGACAAUAUUAUUGUUACAGGGGAUAAUGAACAUGCUAUCAAUCAAUUCAUUCAACGUUUAGCAGCUCGAUUCUCCUUAAAAGAUUUGGGCUCUCUGCAGUAUUUUAUGGGCAUUGAAAUUCAGUCUCAUCCCAUUGAUGGCAAGCUUCUCUCAUAGCACAAGUACAUUAUGGAUCUACUACACCAAACCAACAUGGCUCAUGCAAAACCCAUGCCAACUCCGCUGCCUCCUGGCUGUAAACUAAGCUUGGACAUGGGUGCUCCUCUGGCUAAUCCUACACAUUAUCGUGCAACAAUAGGAAGCCUUCAGUAUCUAUCUCUAACUUGGCCUGAUGUUUGUUUCGCUGUAAACAAGCUCUCCCAAUUCAUGCACAAGCCCACCGAUGUCCACUGGAAACUAGUGAAAUGUCUCCUUCGAUAUUUACUUGGCAUUGUCAACCACUGUUUGCUACUUCAUCGUCAUUCCACCUGUUCAGUUCAUGCCUUUUCUGAUGCAGACUGGGAGGGAAACAAGGAAGAUUUAUCCUCCACCAGCGCCUAUGUAAUCUAUCUUGGUCAGAAUCCCAUCUCCUAGUCUUCUAAAAAGCAACACAUCACGACACGUUCGCCCACUGAAGCUGACACUACCAGAAAUUCGCUUAAUAGCAACGGAUUUAUCGACAAAAUAUUUAUGUCGGUAAUUUGAGGUCGAAAUUACCGACGAAACUUUUUCCAUCCGUAAUUUAGUCGGUAACUACCGACGGAAAGUGUCUGUCGGUAGUUACUGAGUAAAUUAUGGACGGAAAGUUCAGAAUUAAAAAAAAAAAGGCGGGUCGCUGACGUGGAGGUUUAGGCGGGGUUAUUUUUACCGACGGAUUCAAAACGACAGCCCUGUACAGUGACAUGACGGGUUCACCGUUUAAAAUGCCGACGGAAUCACUGAGGGAUUCGAAAUGACAGAUCCGUACGGUGACGUGACUGGUUCACCGCUUGAAAUGCCGACGGAAUACCAAGGGAUUCGAAAUGGCAGAUCCAUACGGUGACGUGUUGAUUUUUCCGUCAGAAUAGCCGACGGACUCACCGAUGGAAAAUCCGUCGGUGAAACCGUCGAAAAAAGUUAAUAUAUGCCCUCUCUGCCGACCCUCUCCUCCCUUAUUUCUCCUUCUUCUUCCUAAUCCCAACUCUCCCCAUCUGCAAACAACCAGCCCCCCCUCCCCCCCAAACAAAAAUCUCCCUCAUCUCAGCACAACAAGUUAUAUUUCUUGAAGUUUUGUGGUCACAACAUCCGUGUUCUGAUUUGCCGACGGAUUUUAUCAAUUUUUGUAAGUAAUUCUAUCUUUUUAAUUUUUAACAUUUAAAUGUCAAUUUUAUUGUUUUUUUAGUAUAUGUAUUUUGUUAGUAGAUGUACAUGUUUUAUUGUUAUUUCUCAAACAAACUUGUAGUAUAUGAAUGUAUAAUUUUAUACCUGUUAUGGUUUGUUUUAGAUUUUGUAAGAUUGUAUUUGUUUGUAAAUUGUUAAAACUUUAUGGAAUUACCGAAUUACAUGUGUUGUUUUGAAAUAAUUAAUAGAUUGCUUAAUGGGUCCGUUUAAAGUUUUAUCAAUGGUAUUGCGGAGUGGUAAUUUCUGUAAAGUUAUAUAUAUUAAUUUGUAUGGACGUUGAUAAAUGAUAAUGAAUAUUUAAUAUUUAUGAGAAGUUGUAAUUAGUUUGUUGGAUAAUCUCGAGGUAAAGUAAUAUUUUUGCAAGUUUAUUUACGUAACUUAGUUAAUUAAUACAUGAUGUCAUCAUAAUUUUAUAGAGGUUCGAUAUAAGUCAUGGAUAAUCGUUCAUGGAUGUAUCGAGAUUCACCCCAAGGAUUGCGGAGGAUUGAUUAUUGUAACGAGGUUCAGGGUUUUAUUAAUUUCGCAACAUCUAUUCCCAGAAAUUUUACUGGAGGUGGUAUUAGGUGUCCAUGCAGGAAGUGUCAAAAUAAAAAAUAUCUGCAUCUAGAUGUUGGAAUGAUGCAUCUUCUACAUAAAUGGUUUAUGGAGAAUUACCAGUGUUGGUAUGCACAUGAAGAAGUAUUUGUUAGUAAGAGGAGAAUGGGAGAAACGGUGGUUGGGUCAACUUCUAGUGCUAGCAACGUGCAUGAAGUGGCAAAUGACAACACUAAUCCUUACAGAAAUAUGGUUAUGGAUGCAAUGAGAAUGAAUCAAGGUAAUGUCAGUCAAUAUCCAAUCGUAGAAGAAGAACCUAAUACAGAUGCAGCUAGGUUUUUUGAUUUGUUGAAAGAUUCUGACGAACCAUUAUGGGAUGGCUGCACAAACCACAGUAAAUUAUAUGUCGUAGCACAGGUGUUCACCAUCAAGUCAGAUCACGAGUUGAGUGAGGCCGGGUAUGAUAAAAUUAUUGAAUGAGCGAGAAGCAUUUUACCUGAAGGGAACAGGUUGAAAGAGAACUUCUAUGCUGCGAAGUCCAUGAUGAAACCUCUCGGUUUAGGAUACCAGAAAAUUGACAUGUGCCCUAACUUCUGAAUGUUAUACUACCUUGAAAAUGCUGAGAUGACCGAGUGCAUGACAUGCGGGCAUUCCCGUUACAAACCUAGAACUGGUAGGGGAAAGACUCUAGUGGCAUAUAAAAAACUUAGAUACUUCCAGAUCACACCUAGACUGCAGAGGUUAUUCAUGUCACCAAGGACUGCUGAGCACAUGACAUGGCACCAAGCACAUGAUGCGGUUGAUGGAGUGAUGGCACAUCCUUCUGACGGCGAAGCGUGGAAACGCUUUAACAAUGUUCAUCCUCACUUUUCAGCUGAAUCAAGGAAUAUGCAUCUUGGGUUGUGUACAGACGGAUUCAACCCAUUUGGGUCAUUUGCUGCUCCUUAUUCUUGUUGGCCGAUCAUACUCACAGUUUAUAACUUGCCACUGGGAAUGUGUAUGAGGCCGGAGUUCAUGUUUUUAUCUACUGUCAUACCCGGUCCAAGCAACCCGGGGCGGAAUAUAGAUGUUUGUCUUCAACCGUUGAUUGAUGAGUUGGCGCAGUUGUGGUCCUCCGGAGCUCUGACUUAUGAUAUAUCGAGGAAACAAAAUUUUCUUAUGAGGGCGGCUUUAAUGUGGACUAUCAAUGAUUUUCCAGCUUAUGGAAUGCUUUCUGGUUGGAGCACGCAUGAGAAACUCGCAUGUCCAUACUGCAUGGAAAACAACAAGGCAUUCACGCUAGCAAACGAAGGUAAAGCUUCUUUUUUUUACUGUCACCGUCGCUUCUUGCCACUUAAUCACAUGUACAGAAAGAAUAGAAAAGAUUUCUUUGUUGGCAGAGUUGAAAAAUAUGUUGCAUCCCCGCGUCUUUCUGGUAAAGAAUUGCAUGAUGUUGUAUCAGAGUACGGUGACAUUGUGUUUGGCCUUCAAUCAGGUAAGCAAAAGUUUCCUGGUUUUGGUUUGACCUAUAAUUGGGUAAAGCCAAGUAUCUUUUGGGAGCUUCCUUAUUGGAAGACCAAUCUGCUCCGUCAUAACCUUGACGUCAUGCACAUCGAAAAGAACAUUUUCAACACCGUCAUGGAUGUGAAGGGGAAGACAAAGGACAACAUCAAGGCUAGAUUGGAUAUAGCUUUAUACUGUAACCAUAAAAAUAUGGAGUUGGUUUAUGAUGAGUCACGGGUCGCAAAACCAAGAGCAAGCUUCGUGUUAGAGAAAAACGCACAACUGCUACUCUACAAAUUGCUUAAGAGUCUGCGUUUUCUGGAUGGACAUGCAUCGAACAUAUCAAGGCUGGUUAAUAUAGAGGACUGCAAAUUGCAUGGAAUGAAGAGUCAUGACUGCCACGUGUUUAUGCAAACACUCAUCCCAUUAGCUUUUCGUGAUUUAUUGCCAAAGGGAAUAUGGGAUGCACUAAUAGAGAUCAGUCAUUUCUUCAGAGAUAUAUGCUCCAGCAAGUUGAAUGUUGAGCACAUUGAGAGGCUUCAAACGAAUAUCGUCGAGACACUAUGCAAACUUGAGAUGAUAUUCCCUCCAUCAUUUUUUGACUCAAUGGAGCAUCUCCCUAUACAUCUACCGUUCGAGGCAAAAGCUGGAGGACCGGUCCAGUAUAGAUGGAUGUACCCAUUCAAACGGUUAGAUAUUAUAGUUGCAAUGUAAUUCAUAUAUAAAAGUAUUUUCUAUGUUUUUCUUAAUUGAAAAUACUUGAUUAAUUCAAUGCAGGUACUUGUUUAAUCUCAAGAAAAAGGUUAAGAACAAGGCGCAUGUUGAGGCUUCGAUAUGUGAGGCCUAUAUUGUUGAGGAGAUCUCAAUAUUUAUCUCGUACUAUUUUGAACCUCAUCUGAGAACGAGAAUCAAUCGCGUUCCACGGCAUGAUGAUGGCGGUGAAGUGCCUUCCAGUGGGAACUUGUCAAUAUUCUCCAAUACUGGAUGACCCAUACCUAAAAAUGUCGUAAGAGGAAGAUAUUUGUCGGAACUAGAGUUCAAACAAGCACACAACUAUGUUUUAUUUAACUGUGAUGAGCUUAGACCUUUUAUUCAGUAAGUUUAUAUAUGUGUAAUACUAAUUAAACUUUGUUAGUAAUAUACUGUUAAUUAUAUAUUGUAAUAUCAUACACUCAUUAUCACUUGCAGGCAACAUCGAUAAUAUUUGCUCUGCAAUAACUCACAGCUGACCGAAUCCAAGAUCUUUCAAUUACAAGAUGAACAAUUUGCCACGUGGUUUAGAACACAUGUAAGCACUAUCACAAACUCAUUCUAACUUGCAAAAUUACUGUACGUAUGCAUGUCAUUACGAGAUUCUCGUUCAUUUACUGUUUAUUGAUGUACAUUACAUACAAGGUUUAUCAAAUGGGAAGGAGUGCGCCUAAGUCAUUGUCUUCACUAAGCCUAGGGCUUGAAAGAAAAUGUAAGUGCUACAACAGGUAUUUUGUCAAUGGAUAUGUUUUCCAUACUGAAGAAUACGGGCAAGGAAGAAAGACAUACAACAGCGGUGUUUGUGUUUAGGGAUCAACUAGUAGUGAGUUAGAAGUUGACUACUAUGGUAGAUUAGAAGAGGUCGUAAAGCACACAAGCUGGACAAUUGGCUGUAAAGCAUUCUAUACCUGGUUCCCCUAAAUUCUCUAGUUUUGUUCACUUCCCAAUCUUUACAUCCACUGCUUCUUGUCAAUUUUUAGCUUCUGAUGUAUCUCCCCCUGAUGAUUCACUGAAAUUCUGUCUCAUUGGGUUUGUUGCGGGCAAAUGCCCUGGAUAUAAUUUGUUGUCUCAAUUUAUUGUUCAAAACUGGAAUUAUCAUGCUAACCUCACCAUGCAUGAUUCUGGAUGGUUGAUAUUUGAAUUUCUCUCCGAAUCUGCUAUGUUGGAUACUCUGGGUGGGGGACCAUAUUCUGUUUUUGGUCGGCCAUUAAUCUUGCAAGUCAUGCCUGAUUUUUUUGACUUCACUCCACCUGACCUGACCAAGAUGCCCACCUGGGUGCGCUUUCCAAAUCUACCUAUUCGGUGCUGGACACCCCUUUACUUAUCCAAACUUGCUAGUGUGAUUGGCAGGCCUUUGCAUUGUGAUGAACCCACCUACACCAAGUCUAAACUUUUUUAUGCUCGGGUUCUCAUUGAGGUUGACUUACUUGGCACUUUGCCUGAUUUGGUUUCUGUUCAGCUUCCCAAUGGUUCAACCUUGGGUCAACAGGUUAUUUAUGAAUCCCUUCCCCGUUUCUGUAAGAACUGUGCUUCCAUGGGGCAUUCCACUUCCUCUUGCAAGAAAAGCUCCUCUAAACGCAAGCUCAGCUCUUCGGAAGGCCACACAGCUACUUCUCCCUCUACUGCCAAGCCAACUGCUGAACCUCAACAUCUGUCUGGCUGCUCCAUAGUUCCCUUGGCAGGACCCCUGACCAAGGUGACUGACACUCCUACUUCCUGGAGGCAAUCCUCUCCAGGGCGUAAGCGGACCAAGGUUUUCUUGGCCAAUACCAUAGCUUCAACCUCUGUAUUUGGUCCCCCUUCAUGUUAGGGGCCCUCUGGUGUUCCACCCUCUUGGCAGUUUCUCAACUGCUGCUCCGAUCCCAUGGUUUCACAGCAAUAUAUGGGUCAACCGAACUCUAGCAAUCUGCCCUCUAAUAGUAGAUCUGAUGAGUCGGCCCGUACAACACCUAUAUAGUUUCCUGUGGCCUUGCAGCUCUGUGGUGGCUUCGAUGCUGCCUUGUGCUCUUUUCAGUUGAUAGGUUUUCUUUUUCAUGGUUGCUUUGUUUGGCAGGUUUUUUCUUGUAGUGCCUUCUUGGCUUGUGAUGGCUUUAUUUCAGCCUGGCAUUUUGUUUUCCUUCUGCAAUGCUUGGACAUUGGCCGUUGGAUUUGUUGGCUUGCUGCUGUCUUGGAGCCAUGUUUGUUAUGCUCUGUAACUCUGUUCUUUUGAUCCCCUGAGUGGGCACCUGUUGUAGCUGUUUGCUCCUGAAUGGGAGGCCACUUAUCUGAUCCUGGAGGAGUGCCCGGUUGAGGGGCUAUGGUUUGCUUAAUGCUAUCGGAUAGUAGAUAAUGUAUAUGUUGCCUUGAUGUUGCUUGGCUGGCUAUUGGUUGUGCUUGCUUACCAUGCAUGAGGGUUGUUCAUGCUAUUGUAUAUGGGAUUCUUUCCCUUUCUAGGACUGGCUUGUUCUGGGGAGUCUGUUCCCCUGCACUUGCCUUUUAUGUUUUCUUUGCUUCGUUUAAGGGAGCAUGUUCCCUCUGCUGGUGCAUGUAAUGUUCUGCUGGUUUCCAGCUUGUACUGCAAGCUUGUCUUGCUCUUUUUUGAUCUAUACAUUACUUACAUUUGAUCCAAAAAAAAAAAGGUCGUCGAACUGCAAUAUCAUAGCGAGCAAAAUAGAGUGUUUUUAUUCAAAUGUUAUUGGUAUGACACGACUGACAGAGGAAUCAGAGUUGAUCCGCAUUAUGGUCUGGUCGAAAUCAACUCAAAAGCUAGACUCCGCAACAUAAACGAUGUCUUUGUUUUCGCAAAGCAAUGUCAACAAGUUUAUUACACAUACACCCCUUCAUUUAGAAAGGAUCGAUCAAGAGUGGAUUGGUUGUCCGUUUUAAAAAGGAAACCCUGGGGUCGUGUCGAGGUUGUUCAGGAUGAGAACAAAGACACAAGUGUGCGAGAUGUAGUCUUUCAAGUUAGUGAGUUGGUUGAACCAUAUCAAGUUGCUCCUUCGAUUGAAUUGGAAGAAAAUUCAAAUUUUCAUGUUUUCGAUGAUAGUCUUGUUGAUGUUGACGCAGAGGAGUUGAAUGUUGUUUUGAGCUCUAGCGGAUAAGCAAAUGUCGAUGAAGAAGAUGAUAUCUAUAUUGAAGAUUGCGAUGAAGGUGAUGACUAUUCAAUUGAUGACGAAGAAGAAGAAAAUUCUGACUAACUAUCAAAAUGAAGCCCUGUGUAAAACCCUUUUUUUCAUGUAAUUUAGAUUAUGGAUGAUAUAUUUUGUAACACGAAAUAUUUAUUGUUUAAGCACUGUUGUUAUUGUUUUGUACAAUGGACAAUUUAUCAUUUAAGUUUUUGCAGGAAGGUAAAGAGGCAAUACAAACACAACCUUUCUUGUACAAUGCAACAAUUACCGACGUCCAUACCGACGGAUUCAAGUCCGUCGGCAUUUCACAGAGAGUUCAAAAAUAAUUACUUGAAAUGCCACAAUCACCGAUGUCUAUACCGACGGAAUAAUGUCCAUCGACAUUUCACAGAGAGUUCGAAAAUAAUUACUUGAAAUGCCACAAUCACCGACGUGCAAACCGACAGAUGUACGUCCGUCGGUAAGUUGUCAGCGGGUCAAUGUUACUGACAAAAUUACCGACGGACUGUGUGAAUUCCAAAGGGUGGUGAUUUAAAUGCAUCUCUGACCGCGCCAGCUUGCCGAUGGAAUUACCGACAGACCACGAAAAAUAUGGAGGGUGAUUAAAAAUUUUGGUGCGAAAUUCAAAAAUUACUGACGGAUUUUUGACACUUCACCGACGGAAUAAAUUAAAAUAAUAAUUAAUUUUAUUUCCAUCGGUAAAACUGCCCUAUAAGUUCCAGCGACCGCCUAUUCAAUUUAUUUUUUCUUCUCCUCCGUUUUUCACCUUAAAUUUUGAUUUUUUUCCUCUCAAUUCUUCAAAGCUUUCACCUACAAUUUCUAGCAAGUUUUCUUGUGAAUCUUCAUCAGUUUAAAAGGUAUGUGUUUCUUCUAUUUCAUUUUACUUUAAGGGUUUUUUUUUUAGCUAUUUUUAUUUUUGUUAUGUUUUUUGUAAUGUAGAUAAAGUCUUGAAUUCAACACAUUAUUAAAGUAAGCAUAUUUCAUUCCUAAAGUCUAUAGUUUUUUUUUUUUUGAAUUUAUUGAAUAUUUUUUAUUGUUGUAUUGGCAUAAUUAUUAUUAGUUAAUUUGUUGAAUAUUUAUUGUUAAUGUUGAAUUUACCUUAGAAUUAGUAAUUGAAUAUGUUGGAAUAAUUAUUAAUUUUACUCUAUUAUUGCAUGAUUUGUGUUUAAUUUUUUCCAUUUAUUUUGAUUGUUAGUCUAGAGUUUUUUUUGAAUUUAUUGUUUUGUUGUAUUGGCAUAAUUAUUGAAUAAUUUUUUGAAUUGUAAUUGUUAAUGUUGAAUUUACCUUAGUAUUAGUAAUUGAAUAUUUUGGAAUAAUUAUUAAUUUUACUCUAUUCUUGCAUGAUUUAUGUUUAAUUUUUUCCAUUAAUUUUAAUUGUUAGUCUAGAGUUUUUUUUUAUUUAUUGAAUAUAUUUUAUUGUUGUAUUGGCAUAAUUAUUGAAUAAUUUAUUGAAUUGUAAUUCUUAAUGUUGAAUUUACCUUAGGAUUAGUAAUUGAAUAUGUUGGAAUAAUUAGUAUAGAUUGGGUCAAUUGGUUGUGGCUAUUGUUAAUAUGUGCAGGUUUGUGGAUUUGGGUAGUAUCCAGUAUAGGGGAGGUGCUGUUGAAUUUUUUUUUUAACAUUUGAAUUUAAUUAUAUAAUUAUUUGUAUAAAAUUAUGUAGAUGCGUAGAAUGAAAACCAGAGCUGGUCGCUCACGUAUGGUCGCAGCUAGUUCGUCUAGCAGCGAGGAUGAUAUUUCCUUAGGUGCCUCUCAAGAAGAGGCACCUACACCACCUGCGCCAUCAACCGAUGUUGCCUCUUCCAGCACUAGUUCACAGCGCAGAGGCAGCGUGCCUUCGCAGUGAAUCAAUUUACCCGCAAGUACGAAGCACAGUGGAAGGACGACCUUUCAAUGUAAGUUUGUUAAGGUUUUAGUUUUUUUUUUAAAAACAAUUACAACAUAAUUUAUGAAGUAAUCACUAUUGAAUUUAUUUCAUUUAUUUUCAGGUUCACAAACAUUGAGGCCGCCCGAGUAAUAUCAUCGGCGUUUAAAUUGUCGAUGGAGAUUCCAUUGUUUCAAUGGAGUCAGAUAUCCAAGCAUCCUAAAUGGAUGCCUCAAAUCAAUGCAUGGUUUGACAGAUUUGAGGUUGGUGUUAAUUUAUUUCAGCUUAUUUCUAAUAAAUUAUUAAUAUAAUUGUAAAUAAAUUAUUAUUUUUAUUUAAAAUUAAUUACUUAUACACAGGAAAAAUUUUGCUGGGACAGUGAGCAUAACACUGUUGUGAGGAGGGUGUGGGAAAAUCACGCGGCAACUAGGUAACAUCGAAAACAAUACAAGAUUUUUUUUAGACAAAAAUUUAUGUUUCGAAAUGUAAUUUUUGGUUGCGUGAAAUAGGUUGCGUGAUUUUUGGUAUGAAGCACAAAAAAGGGCAAAACAAACCGCGAGAGAUAGGGGUUUCCAAGGCUGGAAUGAUGUUGUGGUUUGGAGGGAUUUCAAACCGAUAUGCAUCCCGGAAGAUAUAUGGCCGCACUAUCUUGAGCACGUGAUAUUUGAGCGAUUCACACGACGCUCACAGUCUGGUGCUGGCAACUGGAAUCAGUCAAUUCAUGGCUCGGUGACAACACACACCGGCGGCUCCGUUCUGUUUGCUGCACAUGCGAAACGGAUGGUAAGAUUAAUUUAAAUGAAAUAUAUCGUUAAAUUAAGUUGUUAAUAAAUCUUUUUUCAUUAUAGGCUACGUCUCUUGGACGUGAGCCGAGCCCGAUGGAGCUGUUUGUGGAGACGCACAUGCGGAGUCAAGACCGCCAAAAGGGGGCGCAACAGUUCGUUGACAACCGUGCUCAACAUUUCGUGGUAUGUUUGUUCAACCAUUUUAUUUUGUAAGUUAUUAUGUUUAUUGAAUUGAAUAUGAUGAUUAUUUUUUUUAUUUUCAGGAGACCUAUAAUAAUCGGUUGAGGGAGAGAUACGGGGACGAUACUUUGACCCAUCCAGAAUUCGAUCCGGAUUUGUGGAUGGAGGUCGGAUCGUCAGGUGGACCCGAUAAAAAUCAGGUUUACGGGCUCUCCAACACUACGGCCGACAACUUGCGGUCGGCCCGUAGUGUUUCAACCGUUGGGAGCUCCCAAUCAAUAUCGAGCUCCCAAUCUAAGGAGUUCGUAGCCUUGCAGCAACACACGGCUCAACUCACCGAAAAAUACGACCACCUAUUAGCGGAGUACGCACAACUCAAAGCGUCUCAAGCACAACAAAGAGCGGAGUCUGAACAACAAAAAGUGGCUUAUGAACAGUUUCGCCAAAUGGUCAUGAACAUGGCAACACAGAGUGGAACAUGUGCGCCUAAUCCUUUUUGGUCGUAUAACCACCAACCUCCUCCUCCUCCUCCAGCUCCACCUUUAUAUUAAUUUGUAAUAAAUAUUAUUUACCUUUAAAAUUUCAUUUAAUAUUUUUUUUGAAACACAUUCAAUUUGUAAUGAAUAUUAUUUAACUUUGAUUUUUUGUUUUUGAUGUUUAAUAUAAAUUUUAUUUGCAUAAUUGGUUUUUAUUACCAUUAAUUUAUAUAAUUUUAUAUUAUGUAUUCUAAAUAAUUUUUUAAAAACAAAUUUAGAAAAAACUAUUACAAAGGGUUUUACCGACGGAAUGAAUCUGUCGGCAUUUGACAGUAGCUGCCACAUUCACCGACGCAUUUACAAACGGAUAUAUUCGGUCGGUAUUUCAUACACUCACCGACAGCUUUACCGACGGAAUUAAUCCGUCGGCAUUUGACAGUAGCUGCCACAAUUACCGACAAAUUUACAGACGGAUAUAUUUGGUCGAUAUUUUAAACACUCACCGACAAAGCUACCGAUGGUACGUGGCCGUCGGUAAAUCACAAUAUCAUCGACGGAAUAAAAUCCGUCGGUAUAUUUCAAGCGGGAAACUUUUUUUUGCGCUCAAAUUCCGUAUGUAAAACCAUCGGCAAAUGGUUUUUUUGUGUUUCCGAUCAAUAUAGCGAUGGAAUGUGGAAUUACCGACGAAAGGAAAGCCGACGGACAUAUUUCGUCGGUGAAGACGUCGGUAAAUAAUUCACCAACGAACUGGUAAUCACACACCGACAGAAUAUUUCCGUCGGUAAAACUGUGAAAUCUUGUAGUGUGAAUACAGAGUAGUUGCAGACACAGCAGCUGAAAUCAGUUGGGUGUGCUCUUUACUGUCCGAACUACAUUUCCCAGUAAGUCAUACUCCAGUCAUUUACUGUGACAAUAUUAGUGCCACCCAGCUGAGCUCUAAUCCUGUGUUUCACUCAAAACUGAAACAUGUUGUUAUUGAUUCUCACUUCAUUCGACAAAGGUUUCAAUCUGGUGCUCUACAAGUGUCUCAUGUAUCUUCAAACGAUCAGUUAGCUGAUGCACUGACGAAAUCACUACCCCGCUCACAGUUCUGGCUUCUUAAAGACAAGAUUGGACUCAUUGACCCCGUCCAUCUUGAGGGGGCAUGUAAGCAAGUAUCCAAGUGUGGAACUAACUCCAACUAAACCUCCUGAAGAAUAGGAUUUAAGCAAGUGAUAAGAUUGUUAUCGAAUGGAACUCUAAUUAUUGUGUUUGAUUAGAACUCUGCAACAUUGUUUCUACUGUAUAUAUAUAACCUCUGAUUCAAUGAAUAAAGGUGAGCUUUUACGUUCCAUAAUCAGAUUGCAUCUCCACAAAAGAUUCAUCUAUUGCAAAUAUAGGUGUAUGAGAUGAUUUAGUCUAGAUUUAAAAGCUUAAGUGGAGAAGGCCCCUUAGAGAUUGGAGAAGAAAUCUAUUAAUCUUUUUAUCUAAUUUCUUAUCCAAAGUGGUAAUGUCUUGUGAGGUGAAGGAUAAAUUGAUAUGGAUUUCAAACUCUAUUGGGAUGUAUACUGUCAAGUCCAUGUGUGGGCUUUUAUCAUCUCCUCCUCAAUAUGGUACUUGUUUUUUCUUUCAAUGGUCUAUGAAAAGGUUUAGUCCCUCCUAAAAUGGAUGUUUUUUUUUUGUUGGUUGGCUAUUCUUAAUAGAAUCAACACCAUAGGAGUUUUAGGGAGAAAAGGCAUUAUUUGAGUUGAGGAUGCAUUCUGUCCAAUAUGUUUUCUAUCUAAAGAGUCAGUGGAACAUCUCCUUAUUCAUUGUCAAAACCACUAGAAAAUUUGGUCUAGAUUCAUGGAAUGGUGAGGUUUAUCCCGGUGUUUGUCCUAGCAGUUAAUUUAUCAGAUUUCCUUAGUAGAUCAUUAGGCACCUUGGACUCCACUCAACUUUAACUACUCAGGCUUCCUAUACUCUUUCUUGGUCUAGAUUCAUGGAAUGGUGGGUUUUAUCCCGGUGUUGUCCAAGCAGUUUAUCAGAUUUUCUUUAGCAAUGGAAAGUUAUGGUUAAAGGAAAAUUUCAAAGGAAGGUAGAAUUUAUGUUAUUUUUUUUGUGAUUAUAUAGUCUUUAUAGCUCAUUCGUAAUGACCUGAUCAUCUUUAAUAAAAAAAGCCAGAUUAUGAUACUUUGUUUCUUCUUAUCUUAAUGUGUAGUUAAAAGCUAUUUUUUCUUUUUUUCAUAUAAUGUCCUCGAUUUGCUUAUAUAUUUUGAUGGGUUGGUUAGAUGGACUAAUCAUAAAAGUGCUAGACCUCUUAAUUAUUAUAUAGUCUUAACGAGCAACUCAAUGGCUAAAAUUAAAUGUGGAUGGAUCUUCCACUGGAGAACCUGGUAAUGCUGGUAUUGGGGGUGUUCUUCGAGUUCAUAAGGGUGUAGUUCAAUGUAUGUAUAGAUCUAUACCAGUAGGGAUUAAAGAUUCUAAUGAAGCAGAGCUAAUUGCAGUGAUUAGAGCAUUGGAACUAUCAUCUACUAGAGAAGAAUGUACAGGGAAGAGAAUUAUAGUUGAAUCUGAUUCCACCAAUGUGAUCAACAGGAUGAUUAAAGAGUCUAAUAGACCAUGGAAAUUCUAUGUGCUUUUCAUCCUUGCAUCUAGAUUUUCUUCAGGUUUGAGACUGGUAAAGUAUUCAAAUAUUUUAAGGGAGGGUAACAGUAUGACAGACGCCCUUACAAAACAAGGUUUUACUAGAAAUUAUGAAUUGAUGACUUGGUUUUAACCAUUUUUUUUUCAGGUUACUUAUCUAUGUUAUGAUCACCAUGGAGAUUUCAUGUAUUUGGCUUCUUUAAAGUUCGGGUUGAUAUUUUGAUUUCAUUAAUUUCCGAGAAGAGGUAGACUGGUGGUCGUUGAUAAGAGAUAGAAUCGAGCAAGAGAUGGAUCUCUAACAAUAUUCUACCACUACUACUCUGGUUACGUAUCGAAUCCAAUCUAUCUACCAAAUCAUAAAUUGAUGGUAUUAAAUCCAACUAUGAAAACUUUUAAAACCAAAUCAAAAUGUAUUGUUAUUUUUUUUUAUGAUUUUUGUAAAAACAAAAACGGAUAGGUUUUUACAUUUUGUUUUCAAAAGUUAAAAAAAAUAAAACAAAAGGCAUUAAUUCUUUAUUUUAUCUUAAAUUAGCCUCUUAAAACUAAAAUGGCUAAAAUAAGGUGCAGUAAAAGGCUAUUAUCAAGCACCUAAAUUAUAAAUGAAUGAAAGGAUAAGAGUCAAUCUACCCAAAUUAAAAGGAUUGGAAAUUAUACGUGAGGAAGGAUUGAAGGAACCUUCCAAUCCCUUUUAUUUUAUUUUAUGUUUUUAUCCUUUUUGCCAAAUGAUACUAAAUCCAUCCUUCAACCCUCCUAACAACAAAGCAUAAACCUAAUUAUAAUUAUAAGUCUUUGCAAAAAAAAAAAAAUCGAGAUAUUCAAUCAUUUUUAUCUUUGUUGUGGCAAUAAAUUUAAGAUUGAAAUUUCAAAAUAGAUGUCGAUGCAAAAUAGGAACUACAAAAGACAUGCGUAAUAUACUAAUUUUGUUGAUUGCUUUCAAGGCGUGCUGAUUAGGGAGACAAAAAGGAUAAUGCUUAAUAGUUCAGGGCAAAAUAGAUCAAUUUUAAACUUUGAGGGCUAACUUAAACUAACCCGAUAUAGUUGGGGGAUUUACUUGUAGUUACCUCUUGUCAUAUUUUUGCUUACAAAUGUUUUGGACUGACUUGACGCCAAAUGGGAGAAUACUAGCUUUGAUACCCGCGCGAUGCCGCGAGUUAUUUUUUUUGCAUAAAAAAUAUUAAAAAAAUAAAAAUUUAAAAAUCUUGGGUUUUUCUACAAAGUUAUACCCAAGAAUCUCGGGUUUGGCUGCAACGCCUGACCUAAGAGUAAUAUUUAUAAUAUUAAUAAUAAAAUUAAACUUGCAUGACCCAAGUUUAAGUGAGUCUGGCUGUAACACCGGACCCAAGAAUACUGGAUGUGGGUCUGGCUAUAAGGUCGUGUCAUAAAAGUGUGAUAAUUAAAUAAAUUAAUUAAAAAAACAAAGAAAAAAAAUCAACUGGAAGGAAAAACUAAUGAAGAAAAAGAAAAAAAAAAAAACAUUGAAUUAAUUGGGUCAACCUUUUAAACCAGGUUAUCCCGUAAAACCUGAGAUUUGCGUCAUGAAAGUUUGAUAACUAAAUAGAAAAAGAAAUGACGGGUUUACCUAGAAUUAACGGGGUUAACCCAUCAAACCAAGUUAACCCGUCAAGCCCAGGAUACGUGUCAUGAAAGUAUGAAAGUCUGAUAAUUAAAUAGAAAGAAAAUUAAUUUUAACAAACUAAACUAAAUGAAAAAAAUAACUCGUCAAAUCAGGUUAACCCAUCAAACCCAAGAUUCGUAUCAUGAAAAUAUGAUAACUAAAUAAAAAAAAUUUAACAUUAACAAACUAAAUCAAACAAAAAAAAUUCAUUAAAAAAAAUAAAAAGAAAAAACAAAAGAAAAAAACAGUUAUAUAAUAUAAUACAAUAUAAUAAUAAUUAUAAUUAUAAUUAUAAUGAAAAAACAUGGGGAAAAUUUAAAAAAAUGAAAAAAAAAGUGGGAAAAGCUAAAGCUAAAGCUAAAUUAUCAACCAACUCAAUAUUGAAAAAAUAAAUUUAACAAAGAUAAUUUUAAAGAAAAAACAUGUGGGGGAAACACUGUAGCCAAACAAAAACCAUGUAAGGAAAACACUGUAGUAAUUCAUAGUACUUUUUUUUUUAAAAAAAAAGCUACAAAGCUAAUCUCUCAACCAGCUCACUAUAUAAAAAAAACCGACAAAGGCUAUCUAAAAAAAAAAAAGUCAAUUUUGGGUAAAAGAAAUGAAAAAAAAAUGUACAAAAAAGGAAACAAAAGCGAAAAAAAAACACGUAGGGAAAGCUACAGUGUUUUAAAGAAAAAGACAAAAAAACUAAAUUUUCAAUCAGCUCAAUAGUAAAAAAAUAAAAUCAACAAAAAUAAUUCUGAAAAAAACAAAACAAAAAAAAAAUAUGUAAAAAAUGACAAUUUUGAAAAAAAAGAAAAAUAAAGAAAAAUAAAAAAAUAUAUAUGGGGAAACCUAAAGCUAGAUUAUCAGCCAGCUCAAUAUUGAAAAAAUAAUUUCGAUAAAGAUAAUUUUUUAAAAAAAUAUAUGAGGAAACACUGUAGCAAAACAAAAACUAUGUAGGGGAAACACUGUAGCAAUCCAUAUUAUUUUUUUAAAAACAAAAACUAUAAAGCUAAAUUCUCAACCAACUUAAUAUAAAAAAAAUAAAAUCUACAAAGACCAUUUUGAAAAAAAAAGAAUAAAGAAAUCAUAAAAAAAAAAACAAUGUAUGAGAAUAUUAUAUCAAUCCACAAUGUUUUAAAGAAAAAAACUACAUAGUUAAAUUUUCAACCAGUUCAAUAUUUAAAAAAAUUAGCAAAGAUAAUUUUGAAACAAAAAAAUUUUUUUAAAAAAAGAAACAAAAAAAAGAAGAAGAAAUCAAUUUUGGGUAAAAAAAAAAGCAAAAAAAAACAUGUAAAAAAAAAACAAAAGCAAAAAAAAAAAAAAAAAACCUGCUACAGGGAUAUCCCACGCGUUUUAGAGUUCUUUAAUAGUGCCUUUGUUUGUUCUGCUAAAAUUUUAUGUCGGGAAAACCGAGUGUUCAAUUGCAUCUAGAAAGUGAAAUAGUGAAUCCUUGUUGUGUGAUCUAUAAAUUGGUAUGCUGCUUUCAUUUCAUCGGCACUCUUUUUUUUAUCUCAAAUACCAGGAAACCAGCUGUCCCCUCCUGUUCAGAGCUUUGCUAUGACCGAAGAAAAUCAACAGAUCAAGUCCCCUCAAGAACCACCUGCUGAUCAAGCAGUACCACCCUUGCCAAGUAAGUAUAAAGAAAAAUCAUUUUUUGAUGUUUUGUUGUUUGUAAGAAGUACCAUCACGUGAUUCUGGCGAUCACGAUCGAAGGCAGAGAUCCAAAAAUGUUAUUCCAUCAAGGACUUGAAGGUUCUUAAUUUAUAUGAUCCGACCAUUCGGGUCUGAUUUUAACAACUAUAGUUUCCCUCUAAAAACAAGGGGAAAGGAUGAUAUACCUAAGAUUCUAUCAGUAAUUCAAAACCAUUAUAUUCGGAGAAUCUUAAACAUUAGUUUCCUAGUAGUAAUAUUUUUAGUUUGCUAACAAUUAUGGCAUAUUUUAAUUUUCUUUUCUUUUCUUUUUUUCUCACACACGAUUAUGACAUCUAUGUUUUCCACUUAUGAAUGCUUUACUUUGGACAAGUUUAAGGAAUGUACGGGUUGGGAUCAAAUCCUGCUGCAAAAACAACAUGGCCUGAGUUAGUUGGCUUAACAGCGGAAGAAGCUGAAAGAAAGAUAAAGGAGGAGAAGCCAGGUGCUCAAAUUCAAGUUGUUCAACUUGAUUGCUUUGUGACCAUGGAUUUUCGACAGAAUAGAGUACGAUUACACGUUGACUCAUUAGGCAAAAUCGAGAGAGCUCCUAGAAUUGGUUAAUCUUGCUUUUGUGUUUGAGAAUGUACCGAGUCUAUAAGUCGAUCUUGGAUUGGCUAUGUGGUUUACCUUAUGUUUGUAAUAGGUACGUAAAUUUGCCUGUGAAUGUUGCGUGAUAUCAUUUUCUUCUCUUUUCAUGUCAUUCACUAUGGGUUGUCUUUGAAUAGGGCAUAAAAUUUAUGGGGUCCAAAAUUGUCGGCAUAAUUGUUCAAUAUAUCAUUAUAGGAAGGAAGUCUUGUUUCUUAAAUCUCAGGGUCUCUUAAACUGAACUUGCUUGGAUAAACCGAAACAAAAUGACAACGAAAUAGAGGAAUCUUGCAAACUUUUGUCAGUGAGUGGAAUGGGAUAUUGUUAUCAAGGAGGGAUUUUUCAUCUCUGAAGGAGGGAUUUUUCAUGAGAACCUGAAAUUCAAUUGAAUGGUGCCCACCAAGCCCAGUUCCACAUUAAAAGCAAAUGGAAGCAACACAAGAAAGAUAGAACAAUAAGCAACACAAAAUUAUGUUGAAUAGGGUAAUACUAUAAACUCUAAUUUAAAAUUUUAUUACUAAAUAUUUCACCACACAAAUAUUUUGAUCAAAACUCUCUAUUAUAGCACUUUUAAUAUACUACUAACAAGUUUUAAACAAAACUGAAAAAAUAAUAAAAUACUUCUAAACCAAAUAAGAGAAAGAAUCCUAAAUAAACUAGUAAAAUAUCAAAUGUCAAAUAGUAAGUUCUAAGCAUUAUCAUAAAGUCUUCCCAAUACCAAUUGCUACAAAAUUUAACCCUAAAGAAACCAAGGUCUCUGGAAGCUUCUAGCAAAAUUUCAACUUUAUCCAACUGUUGGAUUAAAAUAUAUACAUGUUAACAUAAAAUUACGCAUUAGAAAAAAUCUCUUAGAUAAGUGUCCCCUUGUUGGAGAGAACUCGUCCUUGAGUUCUGGCCACCACCCACCUAUAUGUUGUUGUUAUUAUGGACCAUCAAAAGGGAUACCCUUGCACUCCACUAACCUCUGGUGUGCUGACACUAUACAGUUAGCCAACUCAAAUAAAGUUGGCCGAGAAUCAAUGCCCUAAACACUCUGAUUCUAUGUAAAACCAUUACUCGUAGCCAAUGGUUUGUUCCACAUCAUGCCCUUUCUCACAUCAUUUUAAUUCUUUAUAAUCUCCUUCUUCUCUUACUUUUCUUAUUCAUUCUUCAUAAACUUGGAUAAAAACAAUAUAUUUUUACCUUUGGACUUAACAACUACCCCUUCUCUCCUCGACUCUAAUACUGUACGCUUCCCUUUUAUAUUGAGAGUGUACGUAUUACAUCAUUUGUCAUGCAUGAUAUUUCUAUCAUAUUAUCAUCGUCUAUCUUGUCAUAACCCAUUUUUGGGUGACUCCCAAAUUCAUUUUCCUUUUCUUAAAAAAAAAAAAAACAAACUGCCCGGUGCCGUUUUGAACGGCACUGUGCAGUUCUUCUCCCCUGCAAAUGCAGAGACAGGGGAGAAGAAGAUUUUUGAAAUAUUUUCUUCCCGCUCUCUCUCUCCACCCCACUUGCACAAAAAUCCCGCAUAACCCAUACCCACACAACCAUACCCUGCAACCAUUAUGGAAGAAACAUGAGACAUACAGAGACCCAUGCCCUGCACUGGAACAGGCAUGGUGACCCUCUCCCUCGACAUUCUAUAAAUAUAAGGGAAGAUUACAGGACAAAAGGGGGGGCAAAAUUUUGGUGAAUGAGAGAGGCAAACAACAGAGUCAAGGGAGGGGGGAUGGUUUUGAAAGGAGAAAAGACGGAGAGCAUUUGAAAACAGAGAAGAGAGAAACCGAACAGAGGAGAGGAGAGGAAGAACCACCAGCUGUGGUCCGCAUAGCCGCCUCCACCGUUCCUCCCAGUCGCCCCGCAGCAACUCCACCUUGAGCCAUCUUCCAAGAGAAAGAAAGAGGAAGAAGAGACAGAGGAGCAGGAGACAGAAAUGGGAAGGAGAAGAAACACACAAAAAAAACACAGAGCAGAGAAAGGGCAGAACCGCCGUCUGGCAUCGCCAUCCACUGCGAGCACAGCCAUUCGGCCACCACCAUCCAGCACCGCCAUUCCGCCACCACCAACACUGCCAACUCCAGCAGAACCAGAGAGGGAGAAGAGAAACAGAACAGAACCGAGAGAAAGAAAACCAGGGGAGGAGUAGAAGGGGGGAAGAAGAAGAACCACCGCCGGCCACCUUCAACCCGGCAGCGCCACCGUUGAUCUUCCUCUCCACAGCCACCAGUAGCGCCGAGCAGAGAAACAGAGGAAGAUAGCAGAAACAGAAAAAAAACAACAGAGCAAAAAACACAGGGAAAGAAGAAGAAAAGGGGCGACCACCACCUCUGUCGCCUCUGCUGUCGCCAGCAGUCGCCACCUCCCCUGCUGCCUCCGCUGCCGCCAGCAGUCGCCAGCGUCGCCACAGCUCCAGGUAACUUUCUCCCCUCCCCUGUCUUUUUUUAGCUGCAUCUUCAUUUGCAUGCAGAACGUGAGCAAUUCACGUUCUGCAGCAAAUGAAGAUUACAGUAACUAGCUAAUUAUAUUUUCUUUGGUUAUGGGCUGGAACAUCAGCCCAGCCCACGCGGCUGGGCUGAGUCCACCCCACAGUAUAUGGGCCGGGUCAGGCCCAUCCCAGGAUGGGUGGGCCAGGUCCGGCCCGUUUUUUUUUUUUUUUUGUAAAAAGAAAAAUUAAAAAAUAUUUUUGGAAUUUUACAAUUUUCCCGCGUAUUUUUAUGUCAUUGUGAUUAAUAUCAAGCAGUAUUUUUUAUGUCGUUAAAAAUGAAAAAUCUGAUAUUAAAAUAUCCGGUUUUCAUCAAAACUUCAAAAAUACAAAAAAAUUUGAAAAAAAAAAUGUUUUAUGCGUACGGCCAAGUGUCUCAAAGCUAAAAAAUCAUAUUGUGUUUUUCAUACACCAAAAAACAAUGUUUUAGCAUGCAAUUUUGACUUUAAUAACCAGUUUAGUAAAGUCAAGAGAACAUUGGCCAAAAUUUCAAAAACCAUAAAAAUUUUAUUUUGUUUGUCUUUUAGUAUCCGGGGUACGAAAUUACAUGUAAUGCGUAUUUCUGAUAUUAAAUUUUUUUUUCUUUUUCAACGUUAGAACGGUUAGGUUUUACCCCAUUAAGAUAAGAACCUCCUUAUUGAGGAGGGCUUUUCUUGAAUCUUAGACAGACAAGACCAACAAUAAAAAAACAUGACAAGACCUUAGAUUUUUAUCAGACAAUAAAACAAUGCAGCUUACCUUAGGUAGGGCGUAUUUGGGGUGCUAAUACCUUCCCUUUACGCAACCAAUCUCCGUACCCGAUCUCUGAGACCAGUUAGGGUUCCUAGUGACCAGAAUAUUAGGUGGCGACUCCCAUUCCAUUUUUCCAAUGAUAAGAGACAAGAAUUCCUUGUCUCCCCAUAUUUUCCAGACACACAUCCAUUGAGUGUGGGUGGGCGAUCGCCGUGACGCCGCACACGUGCGACAUACCUAACAAUAGAUGAUAUGCACCCAUAGACAUCACAUCACACAAAUAACCAUCAAAAUAUCUCUUGCCUAUAUAAAAUGAAACAAGACAGUGUUUGUCCAUCAUUACCAUGCUAUCUUGGUUUAGCCACUUUAAUUUGUAAGGUUUUAGGUCUUUUUCUAUCUUGAGUUACAACUUCUCUAAUGCCUCGACUGACAUCAUGUUCUCACAAUUGCCACUGUCAAUGAUCAAAUUGCAUACAUUGUCUUUUAUCACUUCCCAACAUCAUGGUGACGUUGAAAAAAGAAAAAAGAAUAAAUAUUUGACAUUUUGUUUUUAAAGGGGAAAAAUCUUGUGUAAGGAGUUGCUACCUAGUAUUAUGGUCACUAGGAACCUUAACUAGUCCACAAAGAUUUGAUGGUACGAGACUGAUUAAACUAAAAAGAAGAUACUUUCACCCCUAAAGCGUCCUACCUAAGGUAGGCUGCAUUGCUGGUUUUGCCUUAAAUUGCUAAGGGUUGGUAGUGCUAUGCUAUCAAAGGUCUACCUAUAGUAUUCCUGACUCUGGAAUCAGUGAAUAUUCAACUAAAAAUGCUUCAAACUCUAGCAUUAAUAAGUGUUACAUGACAAAAUAGUCUGAUAUUUCUGACUUUAGCGUUAAUGAAUAAUGAGCUAAGAUUUAUUUCUAAAUCUAGUUCUAAUAUUCUUAACUCUAGCGUUAGUGAAUACUAAGAGUAUCCUUAACUCUGAUAUUGAUGAAUACAAAUAUCACUAACUCUAACAUCAAUCAAUAUUAAGAUAAUAUUUCUAAUUUUGACAUUAGUAGAUUUUGCUUAAAAUUUAAAAUUCGUUAGUGAAUAUGUAUGUAUGUAUGUAUAUGGCAAUGGCUCAUUGUUAAUAUUAACCUUAAAAAUUAGAAUUAAAUGUCAAAAUAUUUUUGGUCUGAUUAAUGAAGGAAAACAAGGCUGGGUUAUUAUUAUUUUUUGAAAAUUUGAAUAUGUCGGCUCAAUGGUCCUUUUAAUUUUGAUCAAGUUCUAAGACUUUAUAAACUUGUUAUAAAGUUCAAAAUACAUGUGAAAUAUUUUUGUAUUUUAUUUUUAUUUUUUGUGAUAAUGUUUAAAAAAGUGCUAAAAUAUGCACAAAAAAAAAGUUUUUUGGUUUUUUUUUUAUUUUGUGAAAAAACGAAACAAAGGUUUAUAUAUAUAUAUAUAUAUAUAUAUAUAUAUAUAUAUAUAUAUAUAUAUAUAAUCCCAAGAUAUGCCACAAUGAUGCUUUUUAAAAAGGCUUGGCCAUGCAAUUUAAAAGAAAACUUCUGAAGAAAAAAAUUUGAAAAUAAAAGAGAAAUUUUUAUAAACCCAUUGUCUAAACAAGAUGUAACCUCAAGGACCAUUUAAAAACUAAAUGUACCAUGUUCUAUUAUACUACUGUAGGAAGCAAAGAAAACACAUUGAGUGCAAAUACAAAAACAAAACCCUUUCAUAGCAAGAGCAAGGUUAACUCCUACACUAACUAAAAAAAACUCUUUUCUAAAGGGAAAUAUAGACUAAUAAAAGUCCUAUCCUAGUGUUGUCAUGAAAAAUAAACCAUGUAAAUUGCUGUAUAGAGCAAAAUCAAAGAAGGUCUCUUUUAUUAUCCAUGAGACCAAACUAUACACUAAGCCUUUUUAGCAAAGCUACAACCCUAAAAAAAAAAAAAAAAACUAAGGAUGAUUAUUUUUUGUUCGGUUCGGUUUUUACCUAUAAAAAUAACCAAACUGUUUUUUUUUAAACCCGAAACCGGUUCAAACCGACCGGUUUCGGUUAUGUUCGGUUAUUUUUUAUUAAAAACCAAAAAUUAUUGUUUUUUGUGGUUUUUUUUUUGUAAUUUCCAAUGGGUUUGGUUUUGGUUUGGCUCGGUUUUUUUAGUUUUUUUGGUUUUAGACUUAUGGAAUCUAAACCGAACCAGUCGGUUUUUUAAAUAUUUUAAUCGGUUUUUUUUACGGUUCGGUUUUUUUAGUUAUUUUUUUUUUGUUUUCUCGGUUUAAUCGAUUUUUCAGUUUUUUUACGCACCCCUAAUAAAAACCCUUCAUCCUUCUCAUGUGCCCAGGACACUUCAUGUAGAAAACACAUAUACUUAAGAGUAAAAACAAUAUAGUUCCUUCUUCAGAGCACAAGCCAUACAGCUCAAAACCAAUACACAUGAACCUCGAGCAUGACCAACAUGUUGGAAGAAAAUUAGUGCAGUAACUUAUUAUGAUAGUCUGACCAAUAGCGUAACGGGUGCUACCAAUCUAGUUUGUCCUAAUUUUCUGGUCCAAAGCAGGAAAACAAUAACAACACAAGUAAUUUUGGUGGUCUUCUCUGUUUUAUUGAGUUGUAUGUCUUCCAGGUUAGGGAGAGAGUGAUAGUGAGGAUUGAAAAGGUUGUUUCAGUUUAAUCCGACUAGUCGUAACGUUACUAGCUAUAUAUUGAGUCAAUGCCAGCCAUGUGGUAUUCAAUCCUGACACGUAGCUAGUUAGAAUUGAUGCAGAACUGGACCAUUUAUAAUGCUCAAGAAACAGAGGAUCGGUUUAUUAAGGAAGACAGAGCCCUUGGUACUUGGCAGAUUAAUUCAGAUAACUUGCUGUACUACUUCCAACUAUAACUAUGCAUGUCUUUUAAGAUUACCUCCUGCUUCGUGCUUAGUAAAAUGCUUCAUGAUUUGUUACCAUGUUUGCUUUCUUAUGUGAUACAUCAACAUAAAAAAAAGGGAGAGAUACCGUGUUAUGUAUUUUAUUUAAAUUGCAUCAUUGUUUUGCAGGUGAUCUUUCAUGUAUCGCAUGCAGGAACUCCUCUGAUUCACCAAAUAGAUCUUACAUGAGUUCUUAAUAAGGUCCUUGAAGAAAAGUAAUAAUUAACGGCCACCUGAAAGGAGGGACUCUGCAACCGAGGACGAAUGUCCAAAUGCCUUGUCCAUAGAAGAAGGAUAAGAAUUGGCAAACUCAUCAAAACCUUCACGAUGUGAAAAUGUUAGGCCACUUGCAGAAAGACAAAGUGGUGAAAUGUCAGGCAGAGGAACAUCCCCCUCUAAGAACUGCACUACUUGCCGCAUGCUUGGCCUUGCUGAAGGCUCAGAAUGAGAGCACAUCAAACCAAGUUUCAAUAACAAUUCCAUUUCCUCUGCAAUAUAUUCUGUACCCAAAUUGGGAUCCCUUGCCUCCAGAAUUUCACCUCCAAGCCAUCGACUAAACACCCAAUCAACCAAGAUUAUAUCCUCAGUUGGUUAUAUUGGCCUUCUACCAGAAGCAACCUCAAGCAGGAAGGCCCCAAAAGCGAACACAUCAGUGCUUGUCGUGGCCUUUCCAGUUCGUGCAUGCUCAGGUGCGAGAUACCCAAGAGUUCCGACAACGUGGGUCGUUUGAGGAUCUGUUCCAUGGUCAUACAAUCUUGCAAGGCCAAAAUCCCCUAAUCUUCCAUUCAAUUCACCAUCUAGCAAGACAUUACUAGCCUUGACAUCUCUAUGAACCA